rnacentral:rRNA from 1 species
AUCUUCUGGGCCUGGGUCUGUUUCAUCACUGAUGGUGGUGUCGACGAACGCAUUAUCGAGGUUCAACGCUUCGAAGAUAGGAUUGCUGUCGCUAUCGACAAUACCCGACACGCUAACACGGAAGACUUCAUCGCCUUCGGCAUACACAUCGUCCACGGUAUCGAUGGUAAACGUAGCCGUCACACCAUCGGCACCAAUAAUCGCUUGAGUGGUUUCGGUGAUAUCGUCACCGGAUGCAGUGGUGUAGCUGUAAGCGAGCGUGACGAUGCUACCGACUGGCGCUGGAUCGCUCAGUGUCACGGUGUAUUCCGUGGUGGUGUCACCUUCUACGACAUUCGCUGGACCUGUCAUGGUGACGGUGACCCUAUCUUCCGGACCCGGAUCGGUUUCAUCGCUAAUGGUGGUAUCGACGAACGCAUUGUCUAAAUUCAGUGCUUCAAAUAUAGGAUUGCUGUCGCUAUCGACAAUACCCGACACGCUGACACGGAACACUUCAUCGCCUUCAGCGUAAACAUCGUCCACUGUAUCGAUGGUAAACGUGGCGGUUACGCCAUCCGCACCAAUCACUGCUUGAGUGGUUUCAGUGAUGUCAUCACCGGAUGCCGUGGUGUAGCUGU